rnacentral:rRNA from 1 species
UACGUAGGGUGCAAGCGUUGUCCGGAAUUAUUGGGCGUAAAGAGCUCGUAGGCGGCUUGUCACGUCGGGUGUGAAAGCCCCGGGGCUUAACCCCGGGUCUGCAUUCGAUACGGGCUAGCUAGAGUGUGGUAGGGGAGAUCGGAAUUCCUGGUGUAGCGGUGAAAUGCGCAGAUAUCAGGAGGAACACCGGUGGCGAAGGCGGAUCUCUGGGCCAUUACUGACGCUGAGGAGCGAAAGCGUGGGAGCGAACAGG